UUGGAGGGCAAGUCUGGUGCCAGCAGCCGCGGUAAUUCCAGCUCCAAUAGCGUAUAUUAAAGUUGUUGCAGUUAAAAAGCUCGUAGUUGAAUUUCGGGGUUAGUAGGUUGGUCGUGCCUCAGGUAUGUACUGAUCUCACUGAUUCCUCCUUCCUGAUGAACCGUAAUGCCAUUAAUUUGGUGUUGCGGGGAAACUGGACUGUUACUUUGAAAAAAUUAGAGUGUUUAAAGCAGGCUAACGCUUGAAUACAUUAGCAUGGAAUAAUGAAAUAGGACGUUCGAUCCUAUUUUGUUGGUUUCUAGGAUUGACGUAAUGAUUAAUAGGGAUAGUUGGGGGCAUUAGUAUUCAAUUGUCAGAGGUGAAAUUCUUGGAUUUAUUGAAGACUAACUACUGCGAAAGCAUUUGCCAAGGAUGUUUUCAUUAAUCAAGAACGAAAGUUAGGGGAUCGAAGACGAUCAGAUACCGUCGUAGUCUUAACCAUAAACUAUGCCGACUAAGGAUCGGAUGAUGUUAAUUUUUUAGUGACUCAUUCGGCGCCUUACGGGAAA
rnacentral:rRNA from 1 species